AGAGCUGAGGGAAACUUGAUUGAAGAAAAUAACCUUUUAGUGAACGCAGGAAUUUGUCAUCCGGCAGAAGCAGAUUGCGUUGAAGAAGCGGCAGUGGCAUGAGGCAAAUGGGUCACAGCAGCCAGACUGGGGCAAACAACUUUGUGUAAACUGAGAGCAGUUUGGCUUCACAGGUUUGGGUGCCACGUUAGAAGGAGGGCGAAGGUCAUUUGGAGGAACCAGGACCUCUUUGGACUUAAGGAAGAUGGAGAGAGCAGAAAUUGGGAGACAUGGUAGAUGAAUGUUGGAUCAUUAAAAGUGUUACAGUAAUAUUCCCCAUCCUUCUUAUUUUGAUGUCUAAAAAGGCUCAGAGCUGAAACACCAACACAAUGAAGUUGGGGAUUUUUGUGCACAAGACUUUGUUAUGAUGUAUCAGAUGUCUUUUGUGCGAAUUGUACCUGAACCUUUUUACGUUCUUUUGAUUCAUUCUAAAGUGCAGUGUCUAGAUAUGACAAAAGCAAGGUAGAUAAUGUACUGUUAAGCAGAAAUGCUUACUGUUAAAAAAGACUUCUAUGCUCAACUGGAGUGAAAUAAAAAAACCACACAUCUUACCGGCA